ACGAAGUGAACACGCUAAAGUGCAAAUUUAGAGACGCACUCAGGUAGAGUGCCGGGGCUUCUCCCGUUUUUUCCUAACGGGAGAAG
rnacentral:tRNA from 1 species